GAGUGAGGCCGUGGGGGCUAAGCUUCACGGUCGAGAGGGAAACAACCCAGACCACCGGCUAAGGUCCCUAAGUUUGCGGGCUAAGUGGAGAAGGAUGUGGGGCGGCUCAGACAGCCAGGAGGUUGGCUUAGAAGCAGCCACCCUUUAAAGAGUGCGUAACAGCUCACUGGUCGAUGCUGGCCUGCGCCGAAAAUGUAACGGGGCUUAAGCCCGUCACCGAAGCCGUGGGAUGUGUCCCCUAGGGGAUGCAUCGGUAGGGGAGCGUUCCGUUCAGCGAUUGAAGUCGCGCCGUAAGGCAGCGAUGGAGCGGACGGAAGUGAGAAUGCCGGCAUGAGUAGCGUCAGGUGGGGGAGGAUCCCACCCACCGAAAGCCUAAGGUUUCCUACGCAAGGUUCAUCCGCGUAGGGUUAGUCGGGCCUAAGCCUAAGGGUAAUACCCGAUGGCGAUGGACAGCCGGUUAUUAUUCCGGCACCACCGCCCGAUGCGUUUGAGGCCGAGGGGUGACCCAGGAGGGUAGGUUGAGCGCGCCAACUGGACACGGUGCGUCCCUGACCCGUAGGCGUCUGGGGAGAGGAAAAUCCCUUCCCAGGUUAAGCGGAGGGGUUGGGGGGAGUGGAGACUUCGGUCAAAGCGACUCGGCUGAGCCCACGCUGGCCAGAAAAGCCUCGCGGCCGAGCUAGGGCGGUGCCCGUACCUCAAACCGACACUGGUAGGCUGGGGUAAGCGCCCUAAGGUGGACGAGUGAUCCCUCGUUAAGGAACUCGGCAAAUUGACCCCGUAACUUCGGGA
rnacentral:rRNA from 1 species